rnacentral:rRNA from 1 species
AGAGUUUGAUCCUGGCUCAGAACAAACGCUGGCGGCGUGCCUAACACAUGCAAGUCGUACGAGAAAGGGUCCUUCGGGACCUGAGUAAAGUGGCGCACGGGUGAGUAACGCGUGGAUAAUCUACCCCUCAGUUGGGAAUAACUCAUCGAAAGGUGGGCUAAUACCGAAUAACACUGCAAGACCUUGGUCGAACAGUCAAAGAGAGCCUCUGCUUGCAAGCCCUCGCUGAAGGAUGAGUCCGCGUACCAUUAGCUAGUUGGUAGGGUAAUGGCCUACCAAGGCGACGAUGGUUAGCUGGUCCGAGAGGAUGAUCAGCCACACUGGAACUGAGAUACGG